GCCCCGGGGCGGUGUCGCCACAGCCGCGCCCCCUCAGCCGCACGCGCGGCGGCCGUUGCCCGCGGCGAGGAGGGGCGGGGUGGGGGGCGUCGGGCCUUGCCCGUGCGCCGGCCUCCUCGCGACGGCCCCGGGCCCGGCGCCGUUUCCACGGUAACCGAGAGGCAGCGCGUGACCGCAUGACCCCGCGCGGCGCUCCGCGGGAGCCCUCGGCCGUAGCCGCGGCGCUGCGGGUCCCUCCGGCCGGGCCGUGCGUGCCUCUGGGAGCGCAGCGGGGAGCGGGCCGGCCCUCGCGGCCUCCGGCGGCACGGCGGGGCCCGGCCCCGGCAGCUCCGGCAAUCCCCAGGCAACACGCAACCCCUCGCAGCCCUCGGAGCGGCCGAACCGAGCGCGGGUACAGCCGAACCCCGGCAGCGGGCGGCCCCUUCAGAAGCAGAGGCAGCGUUAGCCCCGGGGCGGCAGCGUGUCACCGAGCCGGGGCACAGCACCGCGCUGCGACGGGAGUGCACGGACCGCUGAGGGCCAAACUGCUCUUACUGGGAAGCGUUAAUUACAAAAGUGCAGGGGGAGCGACAGUGCAUAUGGGGUUAUGGUACAGAGUGUUUCUUCUGCACGGUGUAAAGAAAGAAUAAAUUUAGGGGAAUUGGUACAGUGACAAAGGGGAGGUGUAGCAGCACUGGGGCACAGCAGUAACAAAGGGGGUGAGCUUGGGUGUAAGGAAAGCUCAGCUCGAGCAGAAUUACUUUUUUGGCUGUUGACAUAAUUGGCAUUUUAGAUAAAAUAUACUCAAAAAAAACCAGUGAUGUCAGUGAAAUAGAACGGCACUGAAACUGUGCUGCUUCAUUACUUGGCACUUGGAUAGGAUAAGCUGUGUUUAGAUUUAUGCAAGCACAAAACAAAGCAAUGAGACAUGCGAGGCACUACACACGGGCACAGAGCGUGUGCUCCCAGCAGCACUUCCCAAUACGCAGAGCAGCAGAAAAACAGAGAAUGAGUACUUGAGUGCGUGUGGUGCUGAAGCUGUGGUAAAAAGAGCAGCUGCUGAACUGCCAUCUUUGUACCGGGGGCCUCAAUUCUCCGGCACUGUCUGUCAUCAGAUAGGUGGUGCAGAGAGCCUGGUUUUGACCUAAGUUGGAGGGCUGCUCUGAAAGCAAUGCCUCCUGUUGUAUGGUGUUGGCCCAUGACAUCAGAGGUGGAUGCUGGCGAUAUGGCAGCAGGGGUUGAACCUUCCCACCAAUAUCCCGUUCCAUUUUGCUCUGUGUGACAGAUGGCAGCAGAGGGGCGGUCUGACAGAAUGGCGCCUGACAUGGGAGUGUGGAUGGAGCAAGGGGUGGAACUGAAUUCCUCCGUGCAGAAAAAAUUGCAGCCGUUGACAUUCAUCGAGGCUUGCUGAACGUUGAUGGAGACCAAGCAGUGGAUGUGAGCACAGUGAGGGGCGGGUGGUGUGUCUCGGCAGUGGGACAGCAGGUCACCUCCACUGGUGCAGGUUUUUAUGAGUGUCGCACAUAGGGCUGUUGUGCCCUUCGGAUCUGUUAUCGUUUCCGUGGAAAUAAACAGGAGGCAUUACUUUCGGAGCAACCUACACACAUGGAAGUUAAGAACAAAUUUUCCAAGAUUUGUUUUUCCUUUAUGCAAUUCUUCCCUAGCAAAGGCAAUUGGAAAAUACAACUUAGGAUGCAGGCGCCGUCACGUUUAAGGCGUCCUUCCCCCUGCAGGGCCCGGCGGGAGCAGAGCUGGAGGCUCGAGCCCUGCGGCGGCAGCGGGGGGGAAACGCGGGGCCGUCACGUGAGCGCGCGGGCUGACCUACUUUGGGCCAAUCGCAGCACGCGGAGCCCAGCGCGCCGCCCGCAGCAGCGCCACGGCGUGGAACCGCCGCAACGGUCGCUCCGCGCGCCCCGCCCCGCCCCGCCCCCUGCGUCGCGCCUCACCUCACCUCACCUCACGGGACCUCAGCCCCUGCGGGCGCGGUGGGAGCUCGGCAGUCGGUGCCGCUUCUCACUUCUGAAUACGUUCUCUCUGGGGGAAAGAAUUGGAAAAGUAGCGGGGAGGAUGCAUAAGGCAGGAGAGCAGGGUUUAGAGUGCGCGCAGAGAAGUGGUUCCCUGUGGCUGAAAUAGCUCUGGUUUGUCGCGGGGCUGGCACCGCCCUCCUGCAGACUGCACGAAGGAGAAGUGGUAGAGACACCGGCUUCAGCCUUUGUUUUAGGUCUAAAACAGCGAAACACCCCCAGCUUGGCCUCAGGUGUCAGUCCACCUCCAUCUGCCCGACAGGACCUGUUACUCAGAGGUCCAUAGAAAGCCAAAUGCUUACGUUGAGACACCCACAUCCCAGCCAGAGCUAAGAGCCUGCAGCCUCUGAAGGGGGAGCACAAGCCCCCAGCAGCACAUCCCGCCCCGUGCCCGCAUCCACGAGCACCGCCGGUCGCUGCCCACACACUGCGCAGCUGAGCACGCUGCUGUGGGUCCUCACCGGGCAAGCACGUCUGUUGAAUGAACUAUGAUCUGCCCCCUCCUUUUUUAUUGAUAUUAUUUUUUUCAGAGGUUUUAAUGAAUGUGGGAGAGACAGGUUUGGAACAGCUUUGGGGUGAUGGCAGAGGAACUUCUCUGAAGUAAUCUGGGGGCGGUGCCAAGAGGCAUUCCACUUCUCAGAAAAAUAACCAGUUACUGCUUAUGUGCUGUGUGUUGAAAGAUUGAUAAUUUUUGUUGCCAACAUUUACAGUCAGUCCUGACCAUGACAGCAGAUCAAACACAUGUACUUGCCUGGACAGCUGACCUGGUUUGAACUCAGUGAGCAUUACUCUCAGUGAUGACCACAUUUUUGGAAUUAAUACUUUGCUAUGUUUUUUAAAGUAACCAUAACCUCAUCAAGCAUUAACCAACCUCUCAGGACUCUUUCAAGCACCUGGUGCCCUUGGUGCCUUGGGGAACUGUUUAGACCCAGCAGGUGUGACUAGCCAGUUAAAUGAGAUGACACAGCUGGACUGAGACAAGCCACAAAGAAGUUGCUGGACUGUUCUGCAGUUGGACAUUGCUCUGAACAAGGGCAACUCCCAGCUGGUGCCAGUGGGAGAAACAACUCGAUCCUUCCUCCGUGUUCGGUUCCUAUUCCUUUCUCACUUUUGGCUUGCAUGCAGCAGGAAGGCAGUUAGAAAUAGCUGUUCUUACAUGCUUAGACUGUUUGAUUUUGGAAGUUGGCGCUGGUUUUACUGGAGAUAGAAGAGCACCCACAAGCAGAGAAUGGAACAUCCCAUCCCCAGGCAGAGCUGUAACAGGAGGAAGGAGUGAAAGGGAUUAAUACAAGCGCUUACGGCUGAAGCCAUCUCAGUGAAUUCCGUUCACUUUGACUCUGAGAACUCCAGUCCAACACAGGCCACAGUCACAAAGGCAGGAUUGUCACAUCUUUGCCUCUAGCGUGCUCCUCCUUCAAAACCCAGAAAGAGAUGGCUUCAGCUCUCAAGAGAAACAAAGUUCAUCACAGCUACUGAAGCCCUGGCACAGUGAAGCAGGCACAGACCACUUAAGAGGACAAAGAAAACGCGUUGAUCCUUGGCUGAUUGCACUAAACAGAACAAUAAAUAUAAGUCCAAAUUAGAAACUUGUACGGAGUGGAAGAAGUGGAAGAUUUUACCCAUGUACCCUCCCUCAUGCCUCAGUACAGCUCUCCUGGAACAAAAGAUGCACACGGCAUCAUCAAUCAAGGACAGGAAACGUGGAGAUGAGCAGAUGAGACUAAUAGCAGCAGAUACCACAGCACGAGCAUUCAGUCGAAUCUAAAGGAAUGGAAAGAAUACAGCAAAUAAGUACUGAGCUUGUGUACUUCUGCAAAUGGAUGCUGUUCUUUUAAGGUACGCUGUAGAAGAUGCCUAUUUCUGUGAGAACAAGGUAAGGUACAUAAGCCAUUAGCAACUGACAGAAAACCACUGACCUUUGGAUAAAUCCUUUCAGCCCAGAGGGAACACUGACGAUCCAUCCAUGCCAUUAGCUAGUCACUGGCCUGAACCUGUGCAUCUCCACCAACUACUGAUAGAAACUGAGGAUGUCUCUUAAGCAUGCAAAAUGCCCAAGAGAGACUGCACUCCCUGAAAUCCUGACAUGAAAGGAUUUUAAAAUAAUACCGUUGAUUUUUGUAAUGUAGCACCUUCUACAAAACAUGCAUUAUUUAGUAACUCACACUGAAAACCGUAAGCUUUUUAUUUCUUGUAUUCACUGUUAACAUGACUGUGUCUGUUUGUGAUUGGUUAAUAACACAGUAUUAUUUUCACAACAUUCCUUACUAUAAAAUUAGAGAAAUGCUGCAUAGCUGAGGAAGAAAUCUGCACCAAGGCCUUAUACACAUUAUAUUUUAAUACUGGUUCCUAAGUUCAUUCCCAGGCUAAAAAAGCUAAAUUCAUAGAAGUAAAGUGCUCUCCUGAGAACAUUCUUGUACUGAAUCAGCAGUGUCCUCUUCCAGCUAAUUACACUAAUGUGGAAUAACACAUUCUGACUUCAGAAAGCCAAGCCUCUGCACACAAGGCAUGCAGGACGAGGUAGGAACAGCCUGGAACACUUCACUGCACAGACCUGCUCCGAAUCAUUUAUUUUUUCCACAGCCUCCUUUUCUCUUGCUCCCCUGGUUACUCCCUCUGAUCUGGAAUUCAUCUGUCUCCUCCUCUCCUCGCUGGAUCAAAUCCUCUUGUCACCAUCUAUUGUGCUACCCACCCACUUCCAUCACUGUCAUCUUGCACUGCUCCCUGACGCAUGUGAUUGUUAAAUAUAAGUUUAAUUAGAAAGCGUUCACUGGUAACAAAUGAAAAAGACUGUCUAAAAUUAGAACUGGUCAGAAAUGGUCUGAGAUUUAACAAGUAAUGCUAUUACAUGAUAUGCCUUCAUUGCUGAGCAAUAUCUUACUUUUGUGCACUGAUGAUGAAAUGAAACCCUGCAGGGUCUGGCACGCACCACCUACAAUUUGAGAGACACACAACUACUUUCUGCUCCGCUUCACAAAUGAUCUUCACCAUAUGGACUACUAAGUGCAGCCAGCAACUACUUUUAAAUGCUACAGUUCCUUCGCUGAGGCAUUAUGAUCCUUUGUAAGAUGAAAGUAAUUUUCUUUAUGUCUUAAGGAGAUGCUAGUACUCGGCAAAGCAGAAAGGCCUCCCAAGACUUACUGCCUAAAAAUAGCUAACAGCCUUUCAGGAAGAUGGAGAAUGAACCUUUCAAGAGAUGCGCCUGAUUAUUCUAUUUAUUACUUUGAUUGCAUUUCUGGAUCUGGAAGAUCCCGUAGCAGUAAGCACCAUAAAACAAAGGGGUUUGGGUUUGUUUGUUUUAUACAGAAUCCUGGCUUAAAUUGCCAAACUGACAUCACCACGUCGCUGUCACUCAACCUACCGAGCUGAAAACUGCUCUGCAGCAUUGUUACAGACAAGGCAAUGUGCACUUGGAGACUUUCUAGAAUACACUGAACUUCUUUUAAACCUCUUUCCCCAGGCAAGAUGCGAUGCUAUUAUGAAGAAGAGGUCACUCUGCGUGGCUAGCUCAUGCAUAUGCCAUUUUGUCCUGGAUGUCAAGGAUGAUUUUUAACAAGGAAAUCAGUUUUCAUUUAGAAGAACGCUCUACACCUAGAAGUGUUUCACAUCUACUGUAAGUAAAGUAAAAAUCUAUUUUUGUUAGGAAUCCUUUACUUCGUGUUUAACAGAAUGAAACAAGCACAGAAAGUAAAAAUUAAAGCGUAUAAUGAUGAAUGUCCAGCAAUACAUUUUUAUCCACUUGGCAGUCUCAGAAAUACUCACUCCAGUUCUGUGAGAACUCAUCGACAAAUUUUAAUUUGGAGACCCUUGUCUGGAUAAAAAGGAAGCCUUCAAAGUAGUGUCUGCAAUCCUUUUUUCUUUCAUGUGUAAUAUUUAUGAAAUGCUACAUACACGAGAGCCCCUUUUUAGGGCAGCACAUCUGCAAGAAAUCAGAAGAUCACAUAGAGAAUGUGUUGUGAGAGUCUGGCAUAGAGGACCGCACGCAGAAUGCCAUUAGACAGUUACUGUGCUUUAACUAUUUGUCUUUUUUUUUUUUUUUUGAGAGAGGGAGGAAAGCUUUAAAGCCUUAAUCUCAUACACAAGCUCGUCACAUCCCAAGUCUAUCUGUAAUGCUCUCCAAAUGAGAAUGAACUCAGAAGGAUGACGUCCAAUCUUUAAAUCCUUCUCUGCAGAGCUAUUUCUACCUUCCAGGUUCACAGAAUGGAUCCUUGCUAUGGCUCUAGAGCUUUCUGACGCGUCCUACCUGUUAUGUUUGACACAACCACAUGUUAGAAUUCAAUUGUACUUAGGACUAGAAGUUCUCCUUGCACGAUUCCCUAUGUAUUGUGAUAGCAACAACUUAAUGUGACACAACACUUCCACCGUCACCGGUGGAAAACAAACCCCCCUCCCUCCUGGCCACUGUUAUUCUUCUCAUCUCCUCCAAUCCUUCUCAUGUUCUGGAUACUUCUGAACAAUUGGUUUAUCUUCUUAUUUUGUUUCCUUCUUCACAGAGUGUGUGAUAUCAUAAAUGUGGUCAAUAAAUCAAAAUGUCAUGCAAGUUUUUAUCUUGAAUUGUUUCCUCAACAAAUCUUUAUUCAGUCCCCUUCUAAACUGAUUUCCAACCAAUGUAUAAAGAAUACUAAAAUGUCUGAUGCAAUGAUUAUUGUCACCAGAAUUCUCCAGCUCUAAAAAACUCCUGCAAUGUGUUGGGCCAUUUCUUUUAGUUUUGCAAACCAGUCCAUCUAAGCUGGAUUAGAACUGACACGUUGGCUCAGCUAAAGUAAAUACAAUCAAAGUAUAAUGACCAUUUUGAUGGUCUGACCUGGGAGUCUUUGAAAAAGCAGCACUGCAUGUGAUUUAUCAGGGCAGCCUGUCAAGAACCAGUGUAACUUUGACCAAUGGGAACAGAUUGCUGUUAACAACUGAACUGAGGAAACACACGUACCUCCACAGGAAACUGCAGGCUACGUCCACUCCCUACAGCAACAAGAUCUCCAUUAGAACCCUAUCUGAUAAAUGUUCGUGUAAAUUCAGCAGAAUAACAUUCUGUAGACAUUCUGGUAGGAAAGCAGAAUGUUACAGUCAGUUACUCCUCAUUUUGGCAUCAAGUUUCUGCUUUACCAGGAAAAAAGGUACUCUGGAAUAACUUCAUAUUCUAAUUAUAGUUGGAGGAAGGUGCAUGCUGACACUGAACCCGCACUGUUCUUUGGUGCUACCAAUGAUUUAUUCUACCAGUUCUUGCCCAAUUUUAAAUGAAAAACAGCUAUCCAUUCUGCUGCUGAAUUGAUACCAGAUUUAAAAGCUCUGGAGGAUUGUUUUCUAAAAGAUAUUUCCCAACUUCACAACUUCUCAUUUUAAAGUCCUUAGCAAUAAUGCUAAGGUUUCCUAUAGAUUUGGGGAAAUCUUCUCAGUAUGAUGCAUUUUUGCAUCUUAGAAGAGGUCUGUAUUUGUGUGGCUUAAGAUAGUGAGUUCUUAAAACUUAUAUUCCAAAGUCUGGCAGCUCAGACUGCAUUCACUACGUGCGCUUUUGUUCAAAGCGAUAAAUGUCAGCAGAGAUAUUCCCACCAAUGAGUUUCAGGUUAUUUCUCAAGAAAAUGAAACCCAGGUCUCUAGAAUCACACGUGGUGCUCACUUCUGACUACUUCCUCCUCACACAUAGAGCAAGGUGAUCUUAAAUUACAGACAGACCCUGGCACGUGUUUUUGGAAAAGCAGUGAAUGCUAUUGCACGGAUCUCAAAUAGCUUUUAUUACUCUUCUGGUUCUUUGUUCCACGAGCUAUUCGUAAGUUAGAAGUCUGUUAAUGAAUGCAAAAACAAAGAGAAUGUGCAAAAGGCAAGGGAAAAAGAAGAACAAAAGUAAAAACUGAAUCCACUGCUACCAAAGUACCAGACUACCAAAACAGCACACGUGCUAACAGAAGUAAUAGAAGGAAAUGCCCCGAGCAUUGUCCUCGAAGAAUAUUUAAGAUUCCAAAAAAUUCAGUGACUUCAUUACCGCUCAUAGCACUGUUACAAAGGUCUUAUUUACUCCUUUGUUCUUUGUUUACACUGUAUAUUUUCUGAAGAAGUCACACUAUUAUCUGCUAUGCAAUUCAGUGAAUUAGCAAAUAUAUCCAAUUUAAGUAAAUAGGGUAAUUAUUACUACGCCCAGUUGACACUGGUAACCUUUGUGUGAUGAACUGUCCCGUGAUAUCUGCUUGAAAUUAAGGAAGAAAUGCAUGUACUAUUUUAAGAGCAUUAAGAAGGAAAAAUACUUCUAACUCCAGACAGAUAACAGUUUUUCAUCAUUCUGCAUUCUUUGUCUUUCCAAAGAAGUACCGACUGAAUCUUAAGCAACCAGAACGAAGGCAGCUCUGCAGUCUUAGAACGAAAUGCAAGAAUAAUACGGUGAAUAAAUUCUCCUGGGUGAAAAAAGCCACCAACUCUCCAUGAGAGAACAGCGCACUUGUAGGAGUUCAAGUGUUCAUUCAAGUGCUAGGGUUGGAAACACCGAAGGGGCAGGAGCAGCAGCCCCAGCAGCCCCUUUCCUGCUUUCAUAGGUCUUUUGUCAUUCUGAAAGAGGCUGGAUUCUGGUAACCGUACCCAUACCACACCCCUAACACAAUGGGAACAGAACCCAAUACUCAGGAGCCUUUUUCUGCACUUGGGAAAAACAAACAAGGUGACUGCUGAAACUCAUUAUGCUCAAUUAGUGAGAAAGAUGCUAAAACCCAAUAUUUAAUGAAAGAAAUGAAGUAUUUAUGUGCACGUGCACAGGUGUACACACACGCAGGC